rnacentral:rRNA from 1 species
GACAGAGGGGGCAAGCGUUGCUCGGAAUCACUGGGCGUAAAGCGCACGUAGGCGGCUUUCUAAGUCAGGGGUGAAAUCCUGGAGCUCAACUCCAGAACUGCCUUUGAUACUGGGAAGCUCGAGUCCGGGAGAGGUGAGUGGAACUCCGAGUGUAGAGGUGAAAUUCGUAGAUAUUCGGAAGAACACCAGUGGCGAAGGCGGCUCACUGGCCCGGUACUGACGCUGAGGUGCGAAAGCGUGGGGAGCAAACAGG